rnacentral:rRNA from 1 species
UGGCUCAGAACGAACGCUGGCGGCGUGCUUCAUACAUGCAAGUCGAGCGAGAAAGUUCCCUUCGGGGAACGAGUAAAGCGGCAAACGGGUGAGUAACACGUGGGAAACCUGCCCUUCGGCGGGGGAUAAGCUCUCGAAAGAGGGUCUAAUACCGCAUAACAUCGGAAAUUCGCAUGUUUUUCCGAUCAAAGCAGCAAUGCACCGGAGGAUGGUCCCGCGCCUGAUUAGCUUGUUGGCGGGGUAACGGCCCACCAAGGCAACGAUCAGUAGCCGGCCUGAGAGGGUGAUCGGCCACACUGGGACUGAGAUACGGCCCAGACUCCUACGGGAGGCAGCAGUAGGGAAUAUUGCGCAAUGGCCGCAAGGCUGACGCAGCAACGCCGCGUGGAUGAUGAAGCUUUUCGGAGUGUAAAAUCCUUUUUGUGGGGAAGAACGCCUUCGGGUUGACGGUACCCUCAGAAUAAGUCCCGGCCAACUCCGUGCCAGCAGCCGCGGUAACACGGGGGGGACAAGCGUUGUUCGGAUUCACUGGGCGUAAAGCGCUCGUAGGCGGUCUUGCAAGUUGAAUGUGAAAACCGAAGGCUCAACCUUCGGCCUGCAUCCAAAACUGCAAGUCUAGAGUACUGGAGAGGAUGGCGGAAUUCCUGGUGUAGCGGUGAAAUGCGUAGAUAUCAGGAGGAACACCGGCGGCGAAGGCGGCCAUCUGGACAGAUACUGACGCUGAGGAGCGAAGGCCGGGGUAGCAAACAGGAUUAGAUACCCUGGUAGUCCCGGCGGUAAACGAUGGGCACUAGGUGUUGGCGGUAUCGACCCCGCCAGUGCCGCAGCAAACGCAUUAAGUGCCCCGCCUGGGGAGUACGGUC